ACGAAACUUUGGAAUAUUACUAAUUUUGUGAUGCUCUUUUAAGCUGUGAUGAAAUUUUUUUCUAGAUCAAAAUUUAGUCUAUAAUGCAAAUGGUCCAUUGAUUGCAUGUAUUAUAGCUUGGCAACACUUUAAGAUAUAUACGGUAAACACGUAUAGUGCUAUGCUAAUACAUUGCUCUCCAAUAGAACCGGGGUGGAAUACUCACUACUAUGAAUUAUGAGAAAUAUUCUAACAUGGACAUGGGAUUGUUACACAUAGAGUAUAUACCAUGACCUUGAACUAUUACGAAAACUUAACGCCCUAUUAUAAACAGAAAUAUUAUUUACGACUGAUUUACGUACGCGUAUUAACAUACUCUAUUCUUUGCUUGCACAUGACAUCACUACAUGUCAUUAGGCGCCAUCUUGGUUGAUUUUAAAGUUUUGUCCAGCCGUUUACAUCGAAAUAGUUGAGUUACUUUAAUAUUUUUGGUUUGGUUUGAAAACAUCUUACUGCAUUAUGGAUAGUUUACGAUUUCUGGCACAAUACGACAAAGAAUAUAGAUUUUUAGUUGCCACGUAUGUUUUGAAAAUCAACCAAGAUGGCGUCGAUUGCAAACGAGCAAUAGCUGGCUCUGCCUCUGUACACGAAAUAUCGCAGGCUAUAACUAUUGGCUAUAAAGUUUAAACAAUAGACCUUAUGCAUAAUGACGUCACAAGGCUUGAUGCCCGCGAGGAAUGCUGGUCUUAGUAGUCAUCGUCCAGGAAAAAUUCGAAAGUGGCCAUUUUGAAUUAUUUAAUUUUCCCAGGCGAUGACUAGUAAGACCAGCAUUCCUCGUGUGCAUCAAGCCUUGUGACGUCAUUAUGUAUAAGGUCUAUUGACCAAAAGACAGUUAUACUACUUUAACUUUAAAAGAGUCAUGCAUGCCCUUGCCCACGGUUUUUCAUACAUUCUCCAAUAUUUUUAAAAAGGUUAUGGACGCGACUUACGCAUAUAUACAUGACCUUCAA
rnacentral:lncRNA from 1 species